UACAGAGGGGGCCAGCGUUAUUCGGAAUUAUUGGGCGUAAAGGGCGCGUAGGCGGCCAUGCGUGUCUUCCGUGAAAUCCCUCGGCUUAACCGAGGACGUGCGGAAGAAACUGCAAGGCUCGAGUCCGGAAGAGGGGGGCGGAAUUCCCAGUGUAGCGGUGAAAUGCGUAGAUAUUGGGAGGAACACCAAUGGCGAAGGCAGCUCGCUGGGACGUGACUGACGCUGAGACGCGAAAGCGUGGGGAGCAAACAGG
rnacentral:rRNA from 1 species